rnacentral:rRNA from 1 species
UACGUAGGGUGCAAGCGUUGUCCGGAAUUAUUGGGCGUAAAGGGCUUGUAGGCGGUUUGUCGCGUCUGCUGUGAAAUUUCGGGGCUCAACCCCGAACUUGCAGUGGGUACGGGCAGACUAGAGUGUGGUAGGGGAGACUGGAAUUCCUGGUGUAGCGGUGAAAUGCGCAGAUAUCAGGAGGAACACCGGUGGCGAAGGCGGGUCUCUGGGCCGAUACUGACGCUGAGGAGCGAAAGCGUGGGGAGCGAACAGG